rnacentral:rRNA from 1 species
UCAGGAUGAACGCUAGCUACAGGCUUAACACAUGCAAGUCGAGGGGAAACGACAUCGAAAGCUUGCUUUUGAUGGGCGUCGACCGGCGCACGGGUGAGUAACGCGUAUCCAACCUGCCCAUCACUUGGGGAUAACCUUGCGAAAGUAAGACUAAUACCCAAUGAUAUCUCUAGAAGACAUCUGAAAGAGAUUAAAGAUUUAUCGGUGAUGGAUGGGGAUGCGUCUGAUUAGCUUGUUGGCGGGGUAACGGCCCACCAAGGCGACGAUCAGUAGGGGUUCUGAGAGGAAGGUCCCCCACAUUGGAACUGAGACACGGUCCAAACUCCUACGGGAGGCAGCAGUGAGGAAUAUUGGUCAAUGGACGAGAGUCUGAACCAGCCAAGUAGCGUGCAGGAUGACGGCCCUAUGGGUUGUAAACUGCUUUUAUAAGGGAAUAAAGUGAGAGUCGUGACUCUUUUUGCAUGUACCUUAUGAAUAAGGACCGGCUAAUUCCGUGCCAGCAGCCGCGGUAAUACGGAAGGUCCGGGCGUUAUCCGGAUUUAUUGGGUUUAAAGGGAGCGUAGGCCGGAGAUUAAGCGUGUUGUGAAAUGUAGACGCUCAACGUCUGCACUGCAGCGCGAACUGGUUUCCUUGGGUACGCACAAAGUGGGCGGAAUUCGUGGUGUAGCGGUGAAAUGCUUAGAUAUCACGAAGAACUCCGAUUGCGAAGGCAGCUCACUGGAGCGCAACUGACGCUGAAGCUCGAAAGUGCGGGUAUCGAACAGGAUUAGAUACCCUGGUAGUCCGCACGGUAAACGAUGGAUGCCCGCUGUUGGUCUGAAUAGGUCAGCGGCCAAGCGAAAGCAUUAAGCAUCCCACCUGGGGAGUACGCCGGCAACGGUGCAACUCAAAGGAAUUGACGG